AAGCUAACAUUUUACUACCGAUCUGAAAAACAUUGCAAGAAGCUAUUGGCAUCUCCUCCUUCUCUAAUUCUUUUCUCCAUUUCACUCUCUAAACAUUUUUAGCCCUAAAAACGCCAUCUUUAUCCUCUUACAAUUAUGCAGCCGGAAUCCGACUUUCCUUCGAUCGCUGCCGUCAAAAUCAAAUCCUCCUCUCCUCGUUUCCCACCUUCUUCCUCUUCAGUAACUGCCACUCCCACGUCCAGCGCCCAACGCCGGAUCGGGAUCGCCGUCGACCUCAGUGACGAAAGUGCCUUCGCCGUCAAGUGGGCGGUUAACCAAUAUCUCCGUCCCGGCGAUGCCGUCAUUCUCGUUCACGUCCGACCCACCUCCGUCCUCUAUGGAGCUGACUGGGGUUCCGUAGACGCCUCUCAAGUGGCAAACGCCGAUGAGGCGUCACAGAAGAAGCUAGAAGACGAUUUCGAUGCGUUUACUAUCACGAAAACGUCUGAUGUUGCUCAGCCUUUGGUGGAGGCAGGCAUUCCUUUUAAGAUCCAUAUUGUUAAGGAUCAUGAUAUGAGGGAGAGAUUGUGUUUGGAGGUGGAGAGGCUUGGAUUGAGUGCUGUUAUUAUGGGAAGCAGAGGUUUUGGUGCGACCAAAAGAGGUAGUGAUGGUAGGUUGGGCAGCGUUAGCGAUUACUGUGUUCGUCACUGUGUAUGUCCGGUGGUGGUUGUGCGUUAUCCUGAUGAGAGGGAUGGUGGAAAGGCUGUUGGUGAGCCUAUAGUUUCUGUGGCUUCUGCAGAUAUGGAUGAGGAGGAACCUGAAUAUCAUGAUGCUACCGAUGAUCAUCAUCAUCGAAAAGGUGAGAUUUGUUGAAUUAGAUGUUGUUUCGGCACCAGAUGCUUAGAGGGAGUUUGAAGGGACGGGCUUCACUUUCCAAUUGCAGUCUUUGAUUUUAAGUAUAUAGCACGGAUGUGUUGAAGGAGGCUAAUGUGAAACAUUUCAUUCUACAUAAGAAAAGGAGGUUGCCUCUCUACUAGAGUAGAACAUGUUUUAUUUGAAUGUUGUCUAUCGAUGAUGGCUAGUAAUGGUUCCAAGUGUGUGUGGUCUUCUAUUUUUCAGUACUUGUAUAAACUGGAUGUUUGAACGGAUUUUCAUGCUUGUUUAGACAUGGUUAAUGGUGGAAGCAAAUUAAUACUAUUUAUGAUUGUUUGAU